AUGGCCGUCAAGGUCGUCGCCGGGAAGACCACUGCUGCUCAGCCCAAGACCGUGGGGCGGCGGCUGUGGCGCUUGGCGCGCACCGUCGUCUACCUUCUGCGCCGCGGCGUGCUGUCGUCCGGGCGUAAGCUCGCCAUGGACCUCCACCGCAGCAGGGACGCCAGCAAGGCCCUCGGCGGCUUCGUCAACUUCCACCGCCGCGCGGCGGCGCGCUCUCGCUCCUCCUCCGUCGCUGCAAAGUGCCUUGACGACGAAGCCGCCGGCUGUUACAACAGCUACGACGCGGCAGACAUCGCGAGGGUGUUCGAGAUGCUCAACGACAGCGGGCACCUCUUCCACGACGAGGACGGGCUCGCGGCGGCGACACCUUCUUCCGCCGCGUGGGCGUCGCCGGCCUUCGGGCGCAGCGCGGCUACGGGCCAGCUGCGCAUCAUCGACUCACCGUUCACGGCGGGCGAGCACCAGCAAGUGGACAGGAAAGCCGACGAGUUCAUCAGGAGGUUCUACCAGCAACUGCGCGCACAGAAGAGCGUCUCCGCCACGCCGGAAAACUACGGCCACGUCCCAAGGCCGGUCGCCGCUUGA
rnacentral:rRNA from 1 species